rnacentral:rRNA from 1 species
AUUGAACGCUGGCGGCAGGCCUUACACAUGCAAGUCGAACGGCAGCACGGGUGCUUGCACCUGGUGGCGAGUGGCGAACGGGUGAGUAAUAUAUCGGAACGUACCUUAUUGUGGGGGAUAACGCAGCGAAAGCUGUGCUAAUACCGCAUAAUCCCUAAGGGGGAAAGCGGGGGACCGUAAGGCCUCGCGCAAUUAGAGCGGCCGAUACCUGAUUAGCUAGUUGGUGAGGUAAAGGCUCACUAAGGCAACGAUCAGUAGCUGGUCUGAGAGGACGAUCAGCCACACUGGGACUGAGACACGGCCCAGACUCCUACGGGAGGCAGCAGUGGGGAAUUUUGGACAGUGGGGGCAACCCUGAUCCAGCAAUGCCGCGUGAGUGAAGAAGGCCUUCGGGUUGUAAAGCUCUUUUGUCAGGGAAGAAACAGCAGCUCUAACACAGUAUGCGAAUGACGGUACCUGAAGAAUAAGCACCGGCUAACUACGUGCCAGCAGCCGCAGUAACAC